GAUGAACGCUGGCGGCGUGCCUAAUACAUGCAAGUCGAGCGAACGGACGAGAAGCUUGCUUCUCUGAUGUUAGCGGCGGACGGGUGAGUAACACGUGGAUAACCUACCUAUAAGACUGGGAUAACUUCGGGAAACCGGAGCUAAUACCGGAUGAUAUUUUGAACCGCAUGGUUCAAAAGUGAAAGACGGUCUUGCUGUCACUUAUAGAUGGAUCCGCGCUGCAUUAGCUAGUUGGUAAGGUAACGGCUUACCAAGGCAACGAUGCAUAGCCGACCUGAGAGGGGGAUCGGCCACACUGGAACUGAGACACGGUCCAGACUCCUACGGGAGGCAGCAGUAGGGAAUCUUACGCAAUGGGCGAAAGCCUGACGGAGCAACGCCGCGUGAGUGAUGAAGGUCUUCGGAUCGUAAAACUCUGUUAUUAGGGAAGAACAUAUGUGGAAGUAACUGUGCACAUCUUGACGGUACCGAAUCAGAAAGCCACGGCUAACUACGUG
rnacentral:rRNA from 1 species